rnacentral:rRNA from 1 species
CAGCAGCCGCGGUAAAACAGAGGGUGCAAGCGUUACUCGGAAUUACUGGGCGUAAAGCGUGCGUAGGUGGUGGUUUAAGUCCGUUGUGAAAGCCCUGGGCUCAACCUGGGAAUUGCAGUGGAUACUGGGUCACUAGAGUGUGGUAGAGGAUAGUGGAAUUUCCGAUGUAGCAGUGAAAUGCGUAGAGAUCGGAAGGAACAUCUGUGGCGAAGGCGACUAUCUGGGCCAACACUGACACUGAGGCACGAAAGCGUGGGGAGCAAACAGGAUUAGAUACCCCCGUAGUCCCUGUCUCUUAUAC